rnacentral:rRNA from 1 species
GUUUGAUCCUGGCUCAGGGAUGAACGCUAGCGACAGGCCUAACACAUGCAAGUCGAGGGGCAGCGGAGAGGUAGCAAUACCUUUGCCGGCGACCGGCGCACGGGUGAGUAACACGUAUGCAAUCCACCUGUAACAGGGGGAUAACCCGGAGAAAUCCGGACUAAUACCCCAUAAUAUGGGCUCUCCGCAUGGAGGGUUCAUUAAAGAGAGCAAUUUUGGUUACAGACGAGCAUGCGCUCCAUUAGCCAGUUGGCGGGGUAACGGCCCACCAAAGCGACGAUGGAUAGGGGUUCUGAGAGGAAGGUCCCCCACAUUGGAACUGAGACACGGUCCAAACUCCUACGGGAGGCAGCAGUGAGGAAUAUUGGUCAAUGGUCGGCAGACUGAACCAGCCAAGUCGCGUGAGGGAAGACGGCCCUACGGGUUGUAAACCUCUUUUGUCGGAGAGUAAAGUACGCUACGUGUAGCGUAUUGCAAGUAUCCGAAGAAAAAGCAUCGGCUAACUCCGUGCCAGCAGCCGCGGUAAUACGGAGGAUGCGAGCGUUAUCCGGAUUUAUUGGGUUUAAAGGGUGCGUAGGCGGCACGCCAAGUCAGCGGUGAAAUUUUCGGGCUCAACCCGGACUGUGCCGUUGAAACUGGCGAGCUAG